UGCUAUGGCUCAGCAGGUAGAGCACUUCCUUGGUAAGGAAGAGGUCACCGGUUCAAAUCCGGUUAGC
rnacentral:tRNA from 4 species